rnacentral:rRNA from 1 species
ACCAGACUCCUACGGGAGGCAGCAGUGGGGGAUAUUGCACAAUGGGGGAAACCCUGAUGCAGCGACGCCGCGUGAGUGAAGAAGUAUUUCGGUAUGUAAAGCUCUAUCAGCAGGGAAGAAGAUGACAGUACCUGAGUAAGAAGCCCCGGCUAACUACGUGCCAGCAGCCGCGGUAAUACGUAGGGGGCAAGCGUUAUCCGGAUUUACUGGGUGUAAAGGGAGCGUAGACGGCAGAGCAAGUCUGAAGUGAAAGCCCGCGGCCCAACUGCGGGACUGCUUUGGAAGCUGCCCGGCUAGAGUGCUGGAGAGGUAAGCGGAAUUCCUGGUGUAGCGGUGAAAUGCGUAGAUAUCAGGAGGAACACCGGUGGCGAAGGCGGCCUGCUGGACUGCAACUGACGUUGAGGCCCGAAAGCGUGGGGAGCAACCAGGAUUAGAUACCCCUGUAC